rnacentral:rRNA from 1 species
UCAUGGCCGGCAGCUACCAUGCAGUCGAGCGGAUGAGGGAGCUUGCUCCUGGAUUCAGCGGCGGACGGGUGAGUAAUGCCUAGGAAUCUGCCUGGUAGUGGGGGAUAACGUCCGGAAACGGGCGCUAAUACCGCAUACGUCCUGAGGGAGAAAGUGGGGGAUCUUCGGACCUCACGCUAUCAGAUGAGCCUAGGUCGGAUUAGCUAGUUGGUGGGGUAAAGGCCUACCAAGGCGACGAUCCGUAACUGGUCUGAGAGGAUGAUCAGUCACACUGGAACUGAGACACGGUCCAGACUCCUACGGGAGGCAGCAGUGGGGAAUAUUGGACAAUGGGCGAAAGCCUGAUCCAGCCAUGCCGCGUGUGUGAAGAAGGUCUUCGGAUUGUAAAGCACUUUAAGUUGGGAGGAAGGGCAGUAAGUUAAUACCUUGCUGUUUUGACGUUACCAACAGAAUAAGCACCGGCUAACUUCGUGCCAGCAGCCGCGGUAAUACGAAGGGUGCAAGCGUUAAUCGGAAUUACUGGGCGUAAAGCGCGCGUAGGUGGUUCAGCAAGUUGGAUGUGAAAUCCCCGGGCUCAACCUGGGAACUGCAUCCAAAACUACUGAGCUAGAGUACGGUAGAGGGUGGUGGAAUUUCCUGUGUAGCGGUGAAAUGCGUAGAUAUAGGAAGGAACACCAGUGGUGAAUGCGACCACCUUGGACUGAUACUGACACUGAGGUGCGAAAGCGUGGGGAGCAUACAGGAUUAGAUAUCCUGUUAUUCACUUCCUAAACGAUGUCGACUAGCGUUGGGAUCCUUGAUAU